GGACCUUUCUUGUGUGACUGCAUGCAAGUCCUCUAAGUUACCUGGGAUUCCGGUUCCUGAAUUACCAAACAAAUAAAAGCAGAUAAUCAAGAUAAAUGUAGAACAUUCACAUAAUAAAUGAGCCUAUGGAAGCCACGGAAACUAAAUUAGUCACAUCACUGGAUUCCACUCCCCAUCUGCUUCUGUAGUUCACUGAGGAUAGUAAGGACAUUAAGUGAUAUGUUCAUUGGAAAUGCCACUGCAAAAAAAGAGACUAGAAUCACAGAAUUCACAGUGUCACCAUACUUAGACUUGAUGAAGUUUAUUUGUAAUAUCUUCUUAAAGAAACCUAAUAGAAGAUCCUAGGAAAAUGGACAGAGGCCAUCCCAUAGAGGAAAUGGUGUGCUAAUGUUAAGUGUUU